rnacentral:rRNA from 1 species
GACGUAGGGGGCGAGCGUUGUCCGGAGUUACUGGGCGUAAAGGGCAUGCAGGCGGUCGGGCGCGUUUUGUGUGACAGCGGGUGGCUCAACUACGCGAGCAUACGAAAGACGGUUUGACUUGAGGGCUCGAGAGGGACACGGAAUUCCGGGUGGAGUGGUGAAAUGCGUAGAGAUCCGGAGGAACACCGAAGGCGAAGGCAGUGUCCUGGCGAGUGACUGACGCUGAGGUGCGAAAGCCAGGGGAGCGAACGGG